GCCCUCCAGUUCCCUUUCCCAUCUGAUCUGAACACUGGUCUUGGUGGUCGUAAAAGGAGGAAAAGUAAUACUGAAGCUGGCCACGCAGUGUUGUAGUUUGUUAUAUGGCACGUGGGCUAGUUUCAAACAAAG
rnacentral:snoRNA from 12 species